rnacentral:rRNA from 2 species
UUGACCUCGGAUCAGGUAGGAUUACCCGCUGAACUUAAGCAUAUCAAUAAGCGGAGGAAAAGAAACCAACAGGGAUUGCCUCAGUAACGGCGAGUGAAGCGGCAACAGCUCAGAUUUGGAAUCUGGUCCCUUGGGGCCCGAGUUGUAAUCUGGAGAGGAUGCUUCUGGCGCGGCGCCGUCCGAGUUCCCUGGAACGGGACGCCGGAGAGGGUGAGAGCCCCGUACGGUCGGACGCCUAGCCUGUGUGAAGCUCCUUCGACGAGUCGAGUAGUUUGGGAAUGCUGCUCAAAAUGGGAGGUAAAUUUCUUCUAAAGCUAAAUACCGGCCAGAGACCGAUAGCGCACAAGUAGAGUGAUCGAAAGAUGAAAAGCACUUUGAAAAGAGGGUCAAACAGUACGUGAAAUUGUUGAAAGGGAAG